rnacentral:misc_RNA from 1 species
GCUUGUCAACCCUCUAAAAACUAUGAAGUUUUGGUUUUCACCUCUUAAAUAGGCCAAUUGUUGGAAGAUAUUAGAUAAAUGUGCCAGGCUGAAAAGAAAAAGAAAAAUAACCACAUUCAGACAAGCAAUCUUGCAAUAUGAGAUUGACCCCUAUGUUCUAUGAUAUUUUAUUUUUAAUUGUUUCAUGCAUGUUUUUAGCUUGGUGAAAUUUUUUUUAAUAUCUGUCCCCCUUCCCCCCUCCCCCCCG